rnacentral:rRNA from 1 species
AACGAACGCUGGCGGCAUGCCUAACACAUGCAAGUCGAACGAGACCUUCGGGCCUAGUGGCGCACGGGUGCGUAACGCGUGGGAACCUGCCCUUAGGUUCGGAAUAACUCCCCGAAAGGGGUGCUAAUACCGGAUAAUGUCUUCGGACCAAAGAUUUAUCGCCUUUGGAUGGGCCCGCGUUGGAUUAGCUAGUUGGUAGGGUAAAAGCCUACCAAGGCGACGAUCCAUAGCUGGUCUGAGAGGAUGAUCAGCCACACUGGGACUGAGACACGGCCCAGAAUCCUACGGGAGGCAGCAGUGGGGAAUAUUGGAAAACGGGCGAAAGCCUGAUCCAGCAAUGCCGCGUGAGUGAUGAAGGCCUUAGGGUUGUAAAGCUCUUUUACCCGGGAUGAUAAUGACAGUACCGGGAGAAUAAGCACCGGCUAACUCCGUG